UGUCUUCGGGGCGGGGUGAAAGUCCCCACCGGCGGUGAUGCGGCCCUUAAAGCCGACAAGCCCGCGAGCCUUAGGGCAAUUCCGGUUUGAUUCCGGAGCCGACGGUUAAAGUCCGGAUGGGAGAAGAC
rnacentral:ncRNA from 1 species